UUGGGCCGGCCGGGCCCGGGAGCGCUGUGAGCUGCGUCUGUAACGCAAGUUAAGCUGUAAGUGCGGCAAGGCGAGCUCGUCUGCGUCAGGGCUGAGGUGCUGCCAGCUGGUGAGCUGGGCUUAUGCUAUGUUGCUGCCGCAAGGAGACAUCUCAUUCCCUACCCUUCUCUGCUCUGUGGGAUUUCCCGUGUUUGGUGUUUGCGAGCCCUUGCUGCAAGCUGCCUCAGCUGGCUAACCCAGCCAAGCUUCGGGGCUAGGCCUAUGUCAGGCUGGUGAGUUGACUCACAGGAAGAUGCAUCGCGCAGCUGUGCUGGUGCAAGGUGGCAGUGACUGCAUGUUGGUUACUCCUCCGUCCACGGGCACCACAACCUGCACGUUGGACAGCACGCUGGGCACGGUCAUGGACUCGGGGUUGUAUUUGUAGUCCACCCUCACGUCCGUAGUGCUGGCGUUACAUUUCCAGUACGUGGCAAGAUUCAGCGGCGUGGACUGGAUGCCAUUGGAAGAUACCUGUAAAAGAGUAAACCAUUAAAAGCAACUUUAUUAAUUAAAACUCUCUGUCCUUCUGGGCAGAAUUAUGGUAACAAGUGUAACGCCAAACAGAGACACAAGAUCAAGGGAACAACCAGCUUCUGAGGCCUUUAUCUCAGAAUUCUAAAAACUGAUAAAGGCUAAAAUGGAGCCUUUUUUUU